rnacentral:lncRNA from 1 species
CGAACCAUCGUUCCAUCGUUCCAUCUUCAGUCCUUCUGACACGACUCAGACCACACCGAACACACCAUCGCUCGGCUCUAGGACAGUCGGAUCAGAAUCCGAACGAUCCUUUCUGGCGAUCUCUGUCUCUCUCCAUCAGUUUUCUUAUCUCUCUCUCUCUCUGUUCUGUUCUGUAUCUGAACCGUGUCCCCCUUUUCUCAGUCCGCGAAGUUCAGAAUAAAAGGAAGUUUUGGACGGUUUCUCCUCUUCCCAACCGUCCCUAACUGCUCCCGCGCUCAGUAACCGUCCUGGCAGUUUUUCUUUACUUCCCAACAGACCAAUAACUGUUCCGUACAAUUAUCUACUUAACUCCCGACAGUUCCUUAAACGUCCCGUGUCAGUUAAGAUAAUCCAGAACCAUACUUAAACUGUUCCCAACUGCUAUGCUAACCGCUCUAGCAACUGUUCCGGAACUGCUUAGUAACCGCCUCAGAUAACCACCCUAUAACCGC